CAGCUAGCCCCCACCCCAAAAAACAACAACUCCUCAUCAAUAACCCCAAAAACACGAACACACCAUAAACAAACCAUUUUUCCCCCCCAGUAUAGGUGAUAGAAAAGGGCCCCGGAGCCAUAGAAAAAGUACCGCAAGGGAACGCUGAAAGAGAAAUGAAACAACCCAGUAAAGCUUAAAAAAGCAGAGAUUCUCCCUCGUACCUUUUGCAUCAUGAUUUAGCAAGUUUCCCCGAGCAAAGGGUACUUUAGUUCGAACCCCCGAAACUAAGUGAGCUACUCCAAGACAGCCUAGUUAGUAGGGCGAACCCGUCUCUGUGGCAAAAGAGUGGGAAGAGCUUUGAGUAGAGGUGACAGACCUACCGAACUUAGUUAUAGCUGGUUGCCUGGGAAUUGGAUAGAAGUUCAGCCUCACGGCUUCUUUCUUCACGCAUGAACCUUGCACUCUUAUUAGUCACCUUGACGAUACAUAAAGAAACCGUGAGAGUUAGUCAAAGGGGGUACAGCCCCUUUGACACAAGACACAACUUUACCAGGAGGGUAAGGAUCAUAUACAAUUAAGGGAAAGUAUUUUGGUGGGCCUAAAAGCAGCCAACCAUGCAGAAAGCGUUAAAGCUCAAACAUACCUCCACCCCUUCGAUCCUGAUAGCAUUAUCCCAACCCCCUAUUCCUACCGGGCCAUCCCAUGCAACCAUGGGAGUGACCAUGCUAAUAUGAGUAAUAAGAGAGCCCCACAUCUCUCUCCCUGCACAAGUGUACAUCGGAACGGACCCCCCACCGAACCUUAACGGCCCCAGACAAAGAGGGUAUUGCAAUAUUUAGCCCAGCCAACCAGAAAACCAUCCAAGACCGAACCGUUACCCCCACACUGGCGUGCAUUCAAGGAAAGACUAAAAGAAAAAGAAGGAACUCGGCAAACACAUGGAGCCUCGCCUGUUUACCAAAAACAUCGCCUCUUGCAAAUCACUGAAUAAGAGGUCCCGCCUGCCCUGUGACAUAGUUUAACGGCCGCGGUAUCUUGACCGUGCGAAGGUAGCGCAAUCACUUGUCUUUUAAAUGGGGACCUGUAUGAAUGGCAUAACGAGGGCUUAACUGUCUCCUUUUUCAAGUCAAUGAAAUUGAUCUCCCCGUGCAGAAGCGGGGAUAACUACAUAAGACGAGAAGACCCUGUGGAGCUUUAGACACCAGGGCAGAUCACGUUAAGCACACCUAAACACAGGGCUAAACCACAUGACCCCUGCCCCUAGUCUUCGGUUGGGGCGACCAUGGGGUAAAAUAAACCCCCCACGCGGAAUGGGAGUACCUAGCUCCUAAAAACCCAGAGCCUCCACUCUAGUUAGCAGAAUCUCUGACCUAAAGACCCGGCCAAGGCCGAUCAACGGACCAAGUUACCCCAGGGAUAACAGCGCAAUCCUCUUUUAGAGCCCAUAUCGACAAGAGGGUUUACGACCUCGAUGUUGGAUCAGGACGUCCUAAUGGUGCAGCCGCUAUUAAGGGUUCGUUUGUUCAACGAUUAAAGUCCUACGUGAUCUGAGUUCAGACCGGAGUAAUCCAGGUCAGUUUCUAUCUAUGACGCACUCUUUUCUAGUACGAAAGGACCGAAAAGAAGGGGCCCAUACUCCAAGUACGCCUCACCCCCACUUAAUGAAAACAUCUCAAAAAAGUAAGGAGGCGCACGCUAUGCCCGAGACAAGGGCAA
rnacentral:rRNA from 1 species